GAGAGCCGGGGCUGCAGCCCCGCCCCGCAAUAAGCGCGGGGGUGGGAGAGGCAGUGAGCCCGGGGGGCGGGGGUGGAGGACAAGGCCCCCAGCAGCUCCCCCCCGAGGAGGGUAACACGUGGGGGGGGGGGAACGCGGCCCCUCCCUCACCGGCGAUCCCGUAGUACUGCGCGGCGGCGCAGGCCAGGCGCCCGGGCAGAAAAACCUGUGAGAGGAGGUUCUGAAGAUCCUUGCCGAGAUCACCCACAUCAUCAUCCCAUGGGUUCCGCCCAUGCAUACACAAAAGGUUAAGAGACUUGCCUCCAAACCGGACAGAUCCCAGGAUCAUGUAGGAGGCCAAAGUUAUCUCGUGCAAAGCCCCUGUGCCUUCAUAUUGGCUCUGACUCUCAAUGACCCUGGUUCCCUAGUAGUAUGGCUAGCAGGGUGUUCCUUUGGUCACAGUAACCACUGAACACAGAGGGAAAAGGCCCUGUGAAAAGAUAACGAAGUCUGGGACUAUAUUAUAAUUUGUUCUUAAUUUUUCUGGGUCUGGAGGGAAAACAAUAGGUUUGAUGUAAAGCUAAUUGAAGUCUAUGGAAAGAUUCAUUGACUUCAAUAGGUUUUGGAUCAGGCCACUGUUCAGACUCCCCUAGCGUGCCCAUGUCUCUCCCUGUCUCCAUCCUGACCACAGUCUAAGCCCCAGAUCAUGCAAAAUGGUUUCCACACAGUCUACUUGGUGUCACAGGAGUACCCGAGUCCCAUUUUCCUGUGAAAUGGAAAAGACCAGUGUGCAGAUCUAGGCAGCAUGAUCCAAUGGCUGUAGUACAGCAACAAGCAAAAUAACUUGGCAAGCCAAAGCAGCUGAUGCAGAAAGUUUUGAAGAGACACAUAUUACUCAACAUCAACAACUAAAGCAAAAGGUACUUUUAAACAGAAAGAGGAGAUACAAACAUAACUAGUAAACAAACACUACUGCUUUUCCCUCCCCAAUCUCUGAAAAGAUAUGUAAAUCAAGAACUGGUUCUUUAGCUAUGUAAAAGUCAACAAAAAUGUGUGCUUAAUUGGUCAUUUUCAACAUGAAGCAUAACCACUGACAACUGCAUUUUAUGUAGAAAUAUCUAAGACAGAUUCAGCAGUGUUUCAACAGUAAAAACAAGCAAAACAACCAACCAACCAACCAAAAAAAAAAUGUUCUCAGAAAUGAUCAGUAGGUGGCAGACAAGUUCUAUCUAAAAAUUAAGAUUCUACUUUUCCUAAGCAACAUUGAAAGAUUUCCUCAUGCUCACAAACACUAAAAUGUGUAAAUAGCUUGAUGAUGCCGCAUGCUACUUAACACAACCCCACUUCUAUAGGUUUAUUGCCCAACUAUAAAGCAUUUAAUCCUUAGAAAACUGAAUAGCUGCCAGGUUGAUUGCAAGAAUGGCAAGUAGGGAUCUCUAGUCCAAGGAGCGAACUUGCACCAGCAGGGGAAGUGGGGCACUUUGGAUUCAUCUUCUUUGAACUAGAACCCCCACUGUGACCUGCUAGUGUUUUUUAAUCCAACAGUUGGCUCAGAACUGAUGUGGGUUGGCUGGCAGCAUAUGUCAACCGAGAUAAGAGAGGAAGGUGGGGUUAGGCUGCUGGGUUCAGUUCCCUGUUCCACCACAGACUUCCUGUGUGAGCCUGGACAAGUCACUUAAUCUCUCUGGAUUUAGGUUCUCCAUCUGUUAAAUGGGGAUAAUAGUACUUCCCUACCUCUCAGACGCAUUGUGAGGCUAAGUAUGUUAAAGAUUGUGAGGCGCUCAGCUACCAUGAUGAUCUUUUAUUUGCCUUCUAGUUUUUAAGCCUUUAGGAUUCACAUUGUCCAGCUUUUCUCUGUUUCCUUUACUAGUAGAAACUUAGAAACUUCCGUUUUGUAAUUAAAGAUGAGGUUCUCAUGUAAUCGUAAGACUCUGAACAAAGCACCACAUAUUUUACAGCUUAUGAUAAAAUCACAAGAAUUUGCAACACUGGGUCUGGAAGUAACCAGUAGAGAGUGGGAGUGGAUAAACAGCUAGCUGGAACUAGGAAGGCAGCAGCAAAAAGUCCUGGGGGAAAGCAAGAUAACUACCAGAUUAAAAGUGUGAGGGAUUAGGAUAGAGACUUUUCUGGGUGAUUAAAGGUGCAUAAAGAUGUGAGAAGAUGAUACGGUUCCUUGUGAGUAGGAAAAAAAGAGGGAAGAAUCUGGGAAGGGGUGUGAGACUUGCUGUAUAAAAGAGGAACAGAUGAAUAGUGGAGGGCAAGUAUAUACAAUUUAGUGCAUACUCCUUAAUUCAAUUUCCACUGUCUAAUGUAGUGUGCUGGUUAAUGAUUAAUACAACGUUAACAGUAGAGCCAUUGGUGCCAGGCCAGUUAUGGAUAAAUGACAAGGAAUUUUAGAUCACUUUCUUUUUUGGUCAUGUAUAUUUAAUUAAAAUGGUAUUAUUUCCUGA